CUACACCUGAGCAUGCCAAACCACGUUUCAUGGAGGGAAUUCCAGAAAGAUAUGUUGCAGACCCAAAGAAGGAAUGGCUCCUUAGAUAUGGGCAGAGCAAGGAAUGUGGGUGCACCCAGAGAGGAGCAAUGGUGACAAGUGCCUUCUGAUUAAAAUCGGGCAAUUCCGGGAAACUGCCAGUUGGAAAGAAUGUAACAGCUGAGGAUUCAAGCAUCUGACCAUUCUGGUGCAUCAUUCUCUUCUCAUUGGAACAUCUACAGGGCCCUAUGAUUUAUGCAGGAGCAGAGGCAGCACGCAAUCGAGCUGUCAAGAGAGCGUCAGCUUAUUAGGCAAAUGCUGCGUGGUUUCUGAAGAGGGUCGACGCUAUAAAAUCCCACUCCAGGCUCUGGUGUGGAGAAACUCAGAGCCCAAGUCCGUUGAGAGACUGAAGAGAAAGAUAAGAGGGGAAGAGAAAGAGAGUGAGGACAGAAAGAAGGGAAGAAAAC
rnacentral:lncRNA from 1 species